rnacentral:rRNA from 1 species
UACGUAGGGUGCGAGCGUUGUCCGGAAUUAUUGGGCGUAAAGAGCUCGUAGGCGGUUUGUCACGUCUGCUGUGAAAUCCCGAGGCUCAACUCCGGACCUGCAUCCGAUACUGCCCGACUAGAGGUAGGUAGGGGAGAUCGGAAUUCCUGGUGUAGCGGUGAAAUGCGCAGAUAUCAGGAGGAACACCGGUGGCGAAGGCGGAUCUCUGGGCCUUACCUGACGCUCAGGCGCGAAAGCUAGGGGAGCGAACAGG